AACGAACGCUGGCGGCAUGCCUAACACAUGCAAGUCGAACGAAGCCUUCGGGCUUAGUGGCGCACGGGUGCGUAACGCGCGGGAAUCUGCCCUUUGGUUCGGAAUAACAGUUGGAAACGACUGCUAAUACCGGAUGAUGACGAAAGUCCAAAGAUCUAUCGCCAGAGGAUGAGCCCGCGUAGGAUUAGCUAGUUGGUGUGGUAAAGGCGCACCAAGGCGACGAUCCUUAGCUGGUCUGAGAGGAUGAUCAGCCACACUGGGACUGAGACACGGCCCAGACUCCUACGGGAGGCAGCAGUGGGGAAUAUUGGACAAUGGGCGAAAGCCUGAUCCAGCAAUGCCGCGUGAGUGAUGAAGGCCCUAGGGUUGUAAAGCUCUUUUACCCGGGAUGAUAAUGACAGUACCGGGAGAAUAAGCCCCGGCUAACUCCGUGCCAGCCGCCGCCGUAA
rnacentral:rRNA from 1 species